UACGAGGGGGGCGAGCGUUGUUCGGAAUUAUUGGGCGUAAAGGGCGCGUAGGCGGUCGGAUAAGUCUUGUGUGAAAUCUUCGGGCUCAACUCGAAGUCUGCACAGGAAACUAUCUGGCUUGAGUGUGGGAGAGGUGAGUGGAAUUCCUGGUGUAGCGGUGAAAUGCGUAGAUAUCAGGAGGAACACCUGUGGCGAAAGCGGCUCUUUGGCCUGUAACUGACGCUGAGGCGCGAAAGCGUGGGGAGCAAACAGG
rnacentral:rRNA from 1 species